UAAGCACAACAUUUAACGUGAAGAGAAAAAGCUCUGCAGAGAGAGCCACGUACGUGUCACUGAGGCGUAAGGAGAAUGUGACAAGAACUUUGUUCUUUUACUAAUUCUGACCUCAGAAUCAAAUCAGCUGCCCUCGUGAAUCGUAUCUCUCCAACUGCAUCUUGGCAAGGUAAGGGAAUUUGGCUGCAAUGAAGAGUGAAGGAUUUUUGCAUCUUCCAACUUCAGAAUAGCAAAGAGAGCGCGGAGGCAGAUGGAUGAGAUGAAGAAAUGGCACCCAACUCUGGAUUUGAACAUCUCUUAGACAAGAGGUGGGGGGAAAUAACAAGCCGAGAUAGAAAAGAUGAGGUAAAACAAGACGUGUGCUUCCUUCUCCUCGUUCACAAGCAGCUUGCAGAGGA
rnacentral:lncRNA from 1 species